ensembl:snRNA U1 U1 spliceosomal RNA
CUACUUAACCUGGCAGGGGAGACACCAUAAUCACGAAGGUGGUUUUCUCAAGGUGAGGUUUAUUGUAAUCUGCAUGUAUUGACGCCUUCAAGAUCCCCAAAUUCAGGAAAACUUGACAACAUCAUUUGUUAUAGUUGGGGACUGUGUUUGCUCUCUCUCUCU